rnacentral:rRNA from 1 species
AUUGAACGCUGGCGGCAUGCCUUACACAUGCAAGUCGAACGGCAGCACGGGUGCUUGCACCUGGUGGCGAGUGGCGAACGGGUGAGUAAUACAUCGGAACAUGUCCUGUAGUGGGGGAUAGCCCGGCGAAAGCCGGGUUAAUACAGCAUACGAUAUACGUACGACAGCUGGGUACCUUGUGGCCUCGCGCUUUAGGGUUGGCCGAUGGCUGAUUAGCUAGUUGGUGGGGUAAAGGCCUACCAAGGCAACGAUCAGUAGCCGAUCUGAGAGGACGACCAGCCACACUGGGACUGAGACACGGCCCAGACUCCUACGGGAGGCAGCAGUGGGGAAUUUUGGACAAUGGGCGAAAGCCUGAUCCAGCAAUGCCGCGUGUGUGAAGAAGGCCUUCGGGUUGUAAAGCACUUUUGUCCGGAAAGAAAUCCUUGGCCCUAAUACGGUCGGGGGAUGACGGUACCGGAAGAAUAAGCACCGGCUAACUACGUG